UACAGAGACUGCAAGCGUUAUUCGGAUUCACUGGGCGUAAAGGGUGCGCAGGUGGCUAGGUGUGUGAGGCGUGAAAGCCCGGGGCUUAACCCCGGAAUUGCACCUCAAACUACUUGGCUAGAGCAUUGGAGAGGGGAGCAGAAUUCACGGUGUAGCAGUGAAAUGCGUAGAUAUCGUGAGGAAUACCAGAGGCGAAGGCGGCUCCCUGGACAAUUGCUGACACUCAGGCACGAAAGCGUGGGGAGCAAAAGGG
rnacentral:rRNA from 1 species